UGGCGGCACUAGCGCGGUGGUCCCACCUGACCCCAUGCCGAACUCAGAAGUGAAACGCCGUAGCGCCGAUGAUAGUGUGGGGUCUCCCCAUGUGAGAGUAGGGAACUGCCAGGCA
rnacentral:rRNA from 1 species